rnacentral:rRNA from 1 species
UACGUAGGGUGCAAGCGUUAAUCGGAAUUACUGGGCGUAAAGCGUGCGCAGGCGGCUUUGCAAGACAGAUGUGAAAUCCCCGGGCUCAACCUGGGAACUGCAUUUGUGACUGCAUGGCUAGAGUACGGUAGAGGGGGAUGGAAUUCCGCGUGUAGCAGUGAAAUGCGUAGAUAUGCGGAGGAACACCGAUGGCGAAGGCAAUCUCCUGGACCUGUACUGACGCUCAUGCACGAAAGCGUGGGGAGCAAACAGG